CUACGGGGGGCUGCAGUGAGGAAUAUUGCGCAAUGGGGGAAACCCUGACGCAGCGACGCCGCGUGGAUGAUGAAGGCCUUCGGGUCGUAAAAUCCUGUCAGAUGGAAAGAAAUGUAAUCCUGCUAAUACCAUGAUUACUUGACGGUACCAUCAGAGGAAGCACCGGCUAACUCCGUGCCAGCAGCCGCGGUAAUACGGAGGGUGCAAGCGUUGUUCGGAAUUACUGGGCGUAAAGCGCGCGUAGGCGGUUUGUUAAGUCAGAUGUGAAAGCCCAGGGCUCAACCCUGGACGUGCAUUUGAAACUGGCAGACUUGAGUAUUGGAGGGGGUGGUGGAAUUCCCGGUGUAGAGGUGAAAUUCGUAGAUAUCGGGAGGAAUACCGGUGGCGAAGGCGACCACCUGGCCAAAUACUGACGCUGAGGUGCGAAAGCGUGGGGAGCAAACAGGAUUAGAUACCCUAGUAGUC
rnacentral:rRNA from 1 species